rnacentral:misc_RNA from 1 species
UUACUUUCUGCAAAGUUAUAUUUGUCUGACGAGAAACAUGUUGUAUGACUACUCUAUUGAUCCUGAGUAGCUUUAAACCACACUUCUUGUGUUUGUAUUGCCUCUAAUGUUCGAUCCAUUGGCUAGAUGGAAAAAGGUAUGUGCAUAUUCUAUUUUUAAGGUAUGUUUGUCUGGAUCGCCAUUAAUUUAAAUAGAUAUUUUGGAUUUUCAGCUUCUCGGACUCAUGCAUCUAAAUCUAUUUGGAUAAGAGGCAAAUAAAAUUUUUAAAGGGUCUGGAAG